rnacentral:tRNA from 6 species
GGCUUUAUAGCUCAGAUGGGAGAGCGUGGCACUGAAGAUGCCAAGGUCCGCGGAUCGAUACCGUGUGAAGCCA